ACUCUCCCCACUCCCUCCUUUUCACUUUCCCCGCUCCCUCCUUUUCACUUUACCCGCUCCAUAAAGCCCUUUCAGUUACCUUUCACCAAAAUUACUCUGGCCAAAAACCUUUUCACCAAAAUUUGUGUUUCUCCAUCGGCAGAUCGUCGGUGUGUUCUUCGUGCAAAUUGCAGUCUCAACCUCACCAGCGUCGCAACCCAUCUAUCUCCGGUAACGUCUUAUAUUCCCUUUCUCUCGACCUUACUUUGUUUAUCUUUAAAGUUCAGUUACAACUAUGCUUUGCGUUUUUGGUUGCUAUGGAGUUUAAUCGGUAUCAAUUGAGUUUAUGGUUCACCAUCAAUGGGUCGUUUUGUGUUUUUCGAUGAGAUGAAUUUGUUAGUGUCUUUCUUUUUCAUUUAUAUAAUAAAAAUAGUGCGAAAAUAUAGUUGUUGUAUCUUUUCAAACCCUUAUCCUUACACAUGUGAUUUUCGUUUCAUUUCUGUCACCUUUUUUUUUGGAUUAUUAUAAUGUGGAUUUGAAAGAGUCUCCGUUCUUUUAUGUACGAUGUUGGUAGGCUCGGUUCAGUGACAAGGGUAUCUCUAUUUCUCUAUGCUUCUAGAUGUGAUAUUCAGUUUACAAAUAAGCUCACUUUAAAAGAAAUAUUCCGUUUUGAGAUACUAAUAAUGAUUAAUUAAAUAUUUGUUAACAAACUUCAAUUCAAUAAAAAAUGAUAAUACCUAAAAAAAAAUGGACCCUAUCAUAAAAAUAGCCUCAUUUGCUACAGACCCAUUCUUAAUUUGCUACAGCCUCAUUUGCUAAGGGUCCAUCAUGUUGUCCUCAAUCUACCCUAUCAUAAAUGAACCCCUUUGGCCCUUUCCUUUCCAUUUGAAAAUUAAGGUUUAUCUUUUGGCUGUUAGCUUGGGUUGCUUUUUCAUGUCUAGUCCAACCAAGAGAUGAAGGAGAUUUUUUUUUUUAACAUUAUUUUUUUUACAUUAUUUUUUUUACAUUAUUUUUUUACUAAUAAAACAAGAGAAAUAUAUUUGUCAACUAUUUUACCCCUUUAGCAUCAUAGCUAGCAAGUUGGAUGGCUAGGCUAUUCUACCCGUUUAGUAGAUUUUUGUGUCAACAUCACUUAAUUUAAUCAAAUAAGCAGUGAAGAAUGACCAUUUAGUUAGAAUCCCCGAAAGAGCAUGAUGAUCAUUGUGGACCAGCUUUAGAGCCCAUAUCAACCUAACAAAUAAUGUCAAUGUUUACAUCUGGAGAACAACCCUUUGUUGUAAAUGUUACUUAAUGCUUUUUCAAACUGAACCACUAAUUUCAAUGUCUAUGUCAGGCAAUAUAAAAGUUUCCUUUAUUAUUAUCAAUCUUACAAUAAGUCUCUCUUCUUAUUUCACUCGCUUCGUAUCUUUUGUUGACUUGGUUCCUUAUGCAGUCAAAGAGAGAAAUAUCCUUAUAGAAACUUGAUUGAAGAAGAGGUUAAAAAAAAUUAAACAGAGACAAUAGUGUGGUAUAAUAAAAUGCAUUAGACAGUAAGAAAUAGUAAGGUUAAACUCAUAACUAUUAGUAAAAAUUGUCAUAGAACACAUCGCCUCUAUGGGUCUCACUAUGAAUGAGGCCUAUAUACAAGAGAGGAGAUUUGUGGCAGUAAGGAGCAUUUAUUCCACUUUAGGAGUACAUAAGUUCAACCCCUAUAUUAGACCUCAGUAGCCGGUUCAGGUUAUUGGACCAUGUGUAGCUUAUCCAAAACAAUGUCCUUAUCAACUAAAUGCAUUUACUCAUCAACUACUACACUGUUCAGGUUCUAAAAUUUUGCAAUAUUAAUAUGGUCAGGUGCAACCAUUAUCAGAGAUUUCAAUGAAGAGUUUUCAAUUCUAUAACUUUAAUUGUUGCCCCAAAUUUUUAUAAAUCAGUAGUUAGGAAUCACUGUUCGUAAAAGUCAUCUGACAUGUAUAGUAUAAUUCUAUCUGCCGGUUAUGAAAUAUUUCCUUAUCUGCAUAUCGCCAAAUAUAGUAAUUGUUCAUUUAAUAAAUUUUAAGUUCAACGAUAAUGGUUCUCAAUCUUAAUUUCCCUUUUACUACCAACUGUUACUGAUUGCAUUUUUAAUUGCAAAUAGAUUAAGUGCUUCACUCUUUAGCCUAUUUGUUUUCCAUAUAUUUACAGCCUGCUAGCGCAACCAACUAAUUAAAUGGACUUUCAUGAAGAGGUUUCAACUCCAUAACUAUAACGGAUCCCUAGGUAUCAUACAGUAGUAGUUGGAAUGGAUAAACUUGUAACUGAUCAAUGAUAGUAAGGGUUUGUUCAAACUUAAUUAGUGAUCUUGAGUUCGCUAACCAAUCAUUAGUAAGAGGUUGUUUCAUCUUAAUCUCGAAUUCAAGUCUUGUUACGCAACUGUGUUAAAAACUUUGAUUGGAAAGAAUGAAUUAAUGUGCUUGGAACUUAGGUGUAUUAUUGAGUUUUGUAAGUAUAACACAUCCAUUUAUAUAGUAUUCGUAACAUCAUAAAUUUUAUUGGCUUUACAUAUUUUGUGGAGGCACUCAUGCUUUGCGUGGAAAUUUUUGGAUCUGAAUUUCUAGCUUCUGCCAGCUCUAUUUCUCUUAGAACAUUAGAAACAAAAUGUAACUUCUCUAGCAGCUACAAUUACUGUUAAGGGAACAAAAUCUACGGCAAAGGGAGCGCUCUCGCACUAGGACUUCUUGCCAUCAAGGUGUAUUUAUUGUAAGAUGUUUGUGUUUUGCAUCCGUUGUGCAGCCUGAGUUGCGAUUAUUAUUGUUUAUAUGUGA